rnacentral:tRNA from 1 species
UGAUAAUUAGUUUAACUUAAAACAAAUGAUUUCGACUCAUUAGACUACGACUCAUCCCGUAAUUAUCAA